CAGAAACACAAAUAAAAUAUGUAACUUUAAUCUCCUUGGGGCUUAGCCUGCCCUUUAUGAGUCGGAUUUUUUUGGCUAAGAUAUUGAGUUGGGUCUGUGUGGUGUUUUCUGUUGUAUGCUAGCCUGUACCUUGUACAUAGGCUACCAUACAGUUAAUAAGAUGGCAUGUGUUUUGUUACACCAUAAGAACCAAGUUUAUGUCUGUACAAAUUUGCUUUGGUUGCAGGUGCUCGUGUGUAUUUAUGGUGGGUAUGUAUAGGCUGUACUAAAUGUUUUGUGUAUGUAUUUUCCAGAAAGGUUGCAAGGGACUGGAGUGUGAUGAACUGACACCCUGUUCAGCAGGUAUUCCUACUUUGUACCAAAUGAUCAUCGGUAUGCUCUGGACCACCACAACCCUGACUUGGAAAAAGAAGAUAAGAAGAUUAAUAAAAUGGAAGGAUCAUGGCUGGUCCAGACUCUACACGGAAUCACUGGAGACAAGGCAGGAACACCCCCUGGACAGGGCACCAGACUAUUACAUGGAGGGAAAAUAAUGCUGUGCUGUGCUAAGACCAUGGGAGAUGGCAGAAAGAGGGGGUCAAAGACAGACUUUCUGGGCUAAUAGGAAAAGUUGUUUACAAUUUAACAACCAUCAAGGCCAAGGAAAGAAAAUUCUAAACAUCUGAGUCUUAUCUUCUCCCCCUCCACAGCCCCACUAUUUGCUCCAUAUUUGGUGUCUUUUAACAAGCUCGGAGAAGCAAUUAAAAUGUUUGUUUAGCCACACAGGGUUUAACUAUAACAGAG
rnacentral:lncRNA from 1 species